rnacentral:rRNA from 1 species
UACGUAGGGGGCAAGCGUUAUCCGGAUUUACUGGGUGUAAAGGGAGCGUAGACGGCUGCGCAAGUCAGAUGUGAAAGCUCGGGGCUCAACUCCGGAACUGCAUUUGAAACUGUGCUGCUUGAGUGCCGGAGAGGUAAGCGGAAUUCCUAGUGUAGCGGUGAAAUGCGUAGAUAUUAGGAAGAACACCAGUGGCGAAGGCGGCUUACUGGACGGUAACAGACGUUGAGGCUCGAAAGCGUGGGGAGCAAAC